GAUGAACGCUAGCUACAGGCUUAACACAUGCAAGUCGAGGGGAAACGACAUCGAAAGCUUGCUUUUGAUGAGCGUCGACCGGCGCACGGGUGAGUAACGCGUAUCCAACCUGCCCACCACUUGGGGCUAACCUUGCGAAAGUAAGACUAAUACCCAAUGAUAUCUCUAGAAGACAUCUGAAGGAGAUUAAAGAUUUAUCGGUGAUGGAUGGGGAUGCGUCUGAUUAGCUUGUUGGCGGGGUAACGGCCCACCAAGGCGACGAUCAGUAGGGGUUCUGAGAGGAAGGUCCCCCACAUUGGAACUGAGACACGGUCCAAACUCCUACGGGAGGCAGCAGUGAGGAAUAUUGGUCAAUGGGCGAGAGCUUGAACCAGCCAAGUAGCGUGCAGGAUGACGGCCCUAUGGGUUGUAAACUGCUUUUAUAAGGGAAUAAAGUGAGCCUCGUGAGGCUUUUUGCAUGUACCUUAUGAAUAAGGACCGGCUAAUUCCGUGCCAGCAGCCGCCGUAA
rnacentral:rRNA from 1 species